rnacentral:ncRNA from 1 species
GGUGUUGGUCGAUUAAGACAGCAGGACGGUGGUCAUGGAAGUCGAAAUCCGCUAAGGAGUGUGUAACAACUCACGUGCUGAAUCAACUAGCCCCGAAAAUGGGUGGCGCUUAAGCGCGCGACCUAUACCCGGCCGUCGGGGCAAGGGCCAAGCCCCGAUGAGUAGGAGGGCGCGGCGGUUGCCGCAAAACCCGGGGCGUGAGCCCGGGCAGAGCGGCCGUCGGUGCAGAUCUUGGUGGUAGUAGUAAAUAUUCAAAUGAGAACUUUGAAGGCCGAAGAGGAGAAAGGUUCCAUGUGAACGGUACUUGCACAUGGGUUAGUCGAUCCUAACAGACGGGGGAAGCCCGUCCGAUAGUGCGUUCAGCGCGAGCUUCGAAAGGGAAUCGGGUUAAAAUUUCUGAACCGGGACGCGGCGGCUAACGGCAACGUUAGGGAGUUUGGAGACGUCGGCGGGGGCCUCGGGAAGAGUUAUCUUUUCUAUUUAACGGCCUGCCCACCCUGGAAACCGCACGUCGCGUGGUAUCCGGUGCACCCCCGGCGGCCCUUGAAAAUCCGGAGGACCAAGUACCGUCCACGCCCGGUCGUACUCAUAACCGCAUCGGGUCUCCAAGGUGAACAGCCUCUGGUCAAUGGAAUAAUGUAGGCAAGGGAAGUCGGCAAAAUGGAUCCGUAACCUCGGGAAAAGGAUUGGCUCAGAGGGCUGGGCAUGGGGGUCCCAGUCCUGAACCCUUCAGCUACCGGUGCACUGAUCGACCUACUUUCGCGGCGAGAGCGGGUCGCCGCGUGCCGACCGGGGGACGGACUGGGAACGGCUCCUUCGGGGGCCUUCCCCGGGCGA